GCUUAACACAUGCAAGUCGAACGGACAGUUAUUUAUAGCCUUGGCUAUAAGUAUCUGUUAGUGGCAGACGGGUGAGUAAUGCGUAGGAAUCUACCUAGUAGUAUGGAAUAGCUAUUAGAAAUGAUAGGUAAUACUGUAUAAUCCCUGCGGGGGAAAGAUUUAUCGCUAUUAGAUGAGCCUACGUUAGAUUAGCUAGUUGGUAAGGUAAUGGCUUACCAAGGCAAUGAUCUAUAGCUGGUCUGAGAGGACGAUCAGCCACACUGGAACUGAGAUACGGUCCAGACUCCUACGGGAGGCAGCAGUGGGGAAUAUUGGACAAUGGG
rnacentral:rRNA from 1 species